CAUAACUGAGGAUGUAAAACUGUAGUUAAUUUUUAUCUGGGAGCUUUGGGUGAGGUUUACUGAAUUCCAGAAUUCAUACUAUGGCCUUUCUGGCUCUCCUCUGUUCUUAGUAAUGGAUUCUUGGUUGGAUGUUGCAUUCAUUUCUCCAGUGUUUCCUUACCCUGCAGCUUGUUCUUAUAGUUCUUGAAGGUAGUUCUUGCAGUCCCUGACCAUUCCUUCCUCUUCCUCUCUUUUCACAUUACAUCUGUGGGCAUAGGAAGCUAAGAGUGAAGGGUUGGACUGUACAUUCUGUGACAUCAGCACAGCUAAAUGAAUGAUUCAGAAUGAGGGUAAAGGGAGCCAAAGUGACAUCUGACCUUGGCUAACUGAUUUUGGAGGUAAGGGUUUUGAGACCCGGGGAACACUAUUUGUAUUUUAAACCCAGAUGAUAGUUAGAAAUAGUCCUAUAACUGUAGUGAGGCCUUCUACUCCAUGAAUUAAUGGGUCAUAACUCAUGCUCAAGCACCAUGUAAAUAUCCCAUGUGUGAAUUAUUCCAUAAUAUAUUUAUGCUGCAUUGUGUCUUAUAGUUUAAUUAGUAUAUGAAGCUACAUGAAUUAGAUUAACCCAAAUGGGAUUAUGUUAUGUGGUGUGUAAAAUAGGAGAAUAUUAGGAAGUAUUUUUCACUUUUUCUGGGGGGAAAAGCAAGAUUGAUUUUUCUAUGACAUCUUUUGGUGUCAGUUUCUGUGAUUCUUGGGCUGCAAAAAGUGACAUGGGACUUCUGAGUUUUCUGUGGUUGGUUGAACAUCAUUGUUCAGUAAAUAUUUAUUGUUUCUUUAGGCAUUAUAGAGGGAUAACACAUACCAGAUGAAAUACGAAGCAAUAGCUUUAAAGCCUUGAGAGCAACAGAACUUGGCGGCAUCAACCCAACUUGGCUUAACUCCGGCUCACCGAACCAAAUCCCAGAUUCUAUGCUUCCUGGGCUUGCGAUAGCUUUUUGAUCCUGGAAUCCUCUUCAAUUCCAGCUAGAUGCUGCGUCAGGCACUUCGCAGAUUUGGUCAAAAGCUGGUACAUAGACCUCCGCUCAAGGAACCAGUGCCUGAGGAUGACCCACAGAGAAGACUGAGCACUCUGGAUUUAGUGGCCCUGGGUGUAGGCCGCACAGUAGGUGUAGGUGUGUAUGUCCUGGCUGGUGAGGUGGUCAGCAAUCAAGCAGGACCAUCCAUCGUGAUCUGCUUUUUGGUGGCCGGCCUAUCUUCUGUGUUGUCUGGGCUGUGCUAUGCUGAGAUUACUGCCCGAGUUCCCCUCUCUGGCUCUUCAUAUCUCUACACUUAUGUCACUAUAGGUGAACUCUGGGCUUUUAUCACUGGCUGGAACCUCAUCUUCUCCCUUGUGGCUGAUACAGCCAAUGUAACCCGGGCUUGGAUUUUAGCUUUUGCCAAUCUGCUUGGGAACCAGAUCUCUCAGACCCUGCGUGAGAGCAUCUUGCUGUAUGUUCCCCAAGUCCUUGCAGAAUAUCUAGUCUUCUUUGUUGUGGGCCUUGUGUUGUUGCUCAUGGAAUUGCAGACUCUGAACCAUAGUCGGUUUUUCCUGAUUACCAAAGUGAUCACAUUGAUGAAACUUUUGGUUCUUGGUUUUGUCAUCAUCUCUGGAUUCAUUAAGGGGGAUCUGCACAACUGGAUGCUCACAGAAGAUGACUACAUAAUGGCUGGACUCAACGACACCUCUAGCUUGAGCCCCCUGGGCUCUGGAGGAUUUGUGCCCUUUGGCUUCGAGGGGAUUCUCCAUGGAGCAGCUACCUGUUUCUAUACAUUUAUUGGUUUCCACAAUAUUUUUGAAAGAGUUGAAGAAGCCCAGAAUCCCCAGCAUUCAGUCCCCAUGGGCAUUGUGAUUUCACUGUUCAUCUGCCUUCUGGUAUAUUUUGGUGUCUCUUCAGCACUUACGCUUAUGGUGCCCUACUACAAGCUUCAACCUGGGAGCAUCUUGCCUGAGGCAUUUCUCCAUAUUGGCUGGGCUCCUGCCUACUACGUUGUAGCUUUUGGAUUCCUCUGUAGUCUUUCAUCUAGCCUCUUGGGCUCUAUGUUACCCAUACGUCAGUUGAUACACAAGAUGGCAAGGGAUGGCCUAUUGUUCCCGGUUCUUGCCAGGAUAGAAACUGGCACAUAUGCUCCCAUCGUGGCCACUGUGAUCUUUGGCAUUACUGCACCAGUCAUGGCAGUCUUCUUUGGACUCACUGAUCUUGUGAACUUCAGGUCACUUGGGUCCCUGCUAGCUUACUCCCUGGUGGCUCUUUGUGUUCUCAUCCUCAGGUACCAGCCUCAGAGGAGGAAUGAGGAAAAUGAAGCAGAGGAGCAGGGGGAGAAUGGACCUGCAGCAGAGAGGCUAACUCUACAGGGACUACUUUUUCCAGGCAGCUCCACCCCUACUCCACUCUCUGGCCGGGUUGUCUAUGUUUGCUCCUCACUGCUUGCUCUGCUGCUCACUCUUCUUUGCCUGGUGCUGGCCCAGUGGCCAGUCCUGCUUUCUGGAGACCCAGUGUGGAUUUCAGUGUUUAUGGUACUCCUGAUGCUCAUCACUGGGAUCACUGGGGUCAUCUGGAGACAGCCUCAGAGCUCCAGUCCCCUUUACUUUAAGGUCCCUGCCCUGCCUCUUGUCCCACUACUGAGCAUCUUCAUGAAUGUUUACCUUAUGAUGCAGAUGACAGCUGGCACCUGGGCCAGAUUUGGUGUCUCCAUGCUUAUUGGGCUUGCUAUCUAUUUCAGCUAUGGGAUCAAGCACAGUGUGGAGGGAGUUGGAAUGGCCAACUCCACUUAAGAAACCUCCAUACUGUUUUUCAAAGUGGCUGCACCAAUUUAUAUUCCCACCAACGAAGGGUGUGGCACAACCCCUUUUUACUAUCUUCUGUGGCAGAAUGUGGAGAAUAGAGAGGACUUGGGGAGCAAUUCUCCAGGAACAAAGCGUCCAUCUCACUGGGGUGAGAGCGGCGAGACCCUGGUGCAAGACAGACGCUCAGCAAAGGCUUCCCCCCACUCCAG